rnacentral:piRNA from 1 species
ACUGAGGUGUCUAUAGGAGACUGUGUGU